rnacentral:rRNA from 1 species
UCCAGCUCCAAUAGCGUAUAUUAAAGUUGUUGCGGUUAAAAAGCUCGUAGUUGGAUUUCUGCCGAGGACGACCGGUCCGCCCUCUGGGUGCGUAUCUGGCUCGGCCUGGGCAUCUUCUUGGAGAACGUAUCUGCACUUGACUGUGAGGUGCGGUAUCCAGGACUUUUACUUUGAGGAAAUUAGAGUGUUUCAAGCAGGCACACGCCUUGAAUACAUUAGCAUGGAAUAAUAAGAUAGGACCUCGGUUCUAUUUUGUUGGUUUCUAGAGCUGAGGUAAUGAUUAAUAGGGAUAGUUGGGGGCAUUCGUAUUUAACUGUCAGAGGUGAAAUUCUCGGAUU